GAUGAACGCUAGCGACAGGCUUAACACAUGCAAGUCGAGGGGCAGCAUAAAAGUAGCAAUACUUUGGUGGCGACCGGCGCACGGGUGAGUAACGCGUAUGCAACCUACCUAUCAGAGGGGGAUAACCCGGCGAAAGUCGGACUAAUACCGCAUAAAACAGGGGCACCGCAUGGUGCUAUUUGUUAAAAAUUUAUUGCUGAUAGAUGGGCAUGCGUUCCAUUAGGUAGUUGGAGAGGUAACGGCUCACCAAGCCUACGAUGGAUAGGGGAACUGAGAGGUUGGUCCCCCACACUGGUACUGAGACACGGACCAGACUCCUACGGGAGGCAGCAGUGAGGAAUAUUGGUCAAUGGGCGAGAGCCUGAACCAGCCAAGUCGCGUGAAGGAAGAAGGAUCUAUGGUUCGUAAACUUCUUUUGCAGGGGAAUAAAGUGCAGGACGUGUCCUGUUUUGUAUGUACCCUGAGAAUAAGGAUCGGCUAACUCCGUGCCAGCAGCCG
rnacentral:rRNA from 1 species